rfam:Mus musculus chromosome 15, GRC primary reference assembly.
AAAUAGGUUCUUUUCAGAACUACCUAUAAGACUGAAACUGGAGAGAU